UUUACAGCAAUGAAGGAGAUAAGUAAUAUUAUUUAAUUGUUAUAGAGAGCUUGUGGUUGGUGGAAACAAGCCAAGAGAUAAUAUGAAUACACUCUGGAGCUUCUAAGUGCAAAGCUUAGACGGUGCAAGCCGUUAUCUACUUGAGUGUAUGUCUUUGACAUGAAUUUAGGAUGGUACCGCGAUCAACUCGUUCCUAUG
rnacentral:ncRNA from 1 species